rnacentral:rRNA from 1 species
CGUAGGGUGCGAGCGUUGUCCGGAUUUAUUGGGCGUAAAGGGCUCGUAGGUGGUUGAUCGCGUCGGAAGUGUAAUCUUGGGGCUUAACCCUGAGCGUGCUUUCGAUACGGGUUGACUUGAGGAAGGUAGGGGAGAAUGGAAUUCCUGGUGGAGCGGUGGAAUGCGCAGAUAUCAGGAGGAACACCAGUGGCGAAGGCGGUUCUCUGGGCCUUUCCUGACGCUGAGGAGCGAAAGCGUGGGGAGCGAACAGGCUUAGAUACCCUGGUAGUCCACGCUGUAAACGGUGGGUACUAGGUGUGGGGUCCAUUCCACGGGUUCCGUGCCGUAGCUAACGCUUUAAGUACCCCGCCUGGGGAGUACGGCCGCAAGGCUA